GAUGAACGCUGGCGGCGUGCCUAAUACAUGCAAGUCGAGCGAACGGACGAGAAGCUUGCUUCUCUGAUGUUAGCGGCGGAAGGGUGAGUAACACGUGGAUAACCUACCUAUAAGACUGGGAUAACUUCGGGAAACCGGAGCUAAUACCGGAUAAUAUUUUGAACCGCAUGGUUCAAAAGUGAAAGACGGUCUUGCUGUCACUUAUAGAUGGAUCCGCGCUGCAUUAGCUAGUUGGUAAGGUAACGGCUUACCAAGGCAACGAUGCAUAGCCGACCUGAGAGAGUGAUCGGCCACACUGGAACUGAGACACGGUCCAGACUCCUACGGGAGGCAGCAGUAGGGAAUCUUCCGCAAUGGGCGAAAGCCUGACGGAGCAACGCCGCGUGAGUGAUGAAGGUCUUCGGAUCGUAAAACUCUGUUAUUAGGGAAGAACAUAUGUGUAAGUAACUGAGCACAGCUUGACGGUACCUAAUCAGAAAGCCACGGCUAACUACGUG
rnacentral:rRNA from 1 species